rnacentral:rRNA from 1 species
GAGUGGCAGAGGGGUGUGUAAUAUAUCGUGAACGUGCCCUGUAACGGGGGAUAACUACUCAAACCAGUGGCUAAAACCGCAAACACCCUACAGGGGAAGGGGGGGGAUCGCAAGACCUCUCCCUAUUGGACCGGCCGAUAUCGGAUUAGCUAGUUGGUGGGGUAAAGGCUCACCAAGGCCACGAUCCGUAGCUGGUUUGAGAGGACGACCAGGGUGACUGGGACUGAGACACGGCCCACACUCCUACGGGAGGCACCGGUGGGGAAUUUUGGACAAUGGGGGAAACCCUGGUCCUCUGUCCCGCGUGUAUGAUGAAAGCCUUCGGGUUGUAAAGUUCUUUUGGUCUGUUGUUAAGGUAUAUCCUAAUACAAUUUACUGCUGACGGUAUCUGCCGAAUAAUCACCGGAAAACUACGUGCCACUACCCGCGGUAAUACGUAGGGUGCAAGCGUUAAUCGGAAUUACUGGGAAUUAAAGCGUGUGUAGCGGUUCGGAUAGAUUCAUGUGAAAUCCCUGGCUCCCCUUGGAACUGCAUUUUUAACUGCCGAGCUUGGUAUGUCUGAGUGGGGUAGAAGUCCACGUGUUCCAUGUGUAUGCGUAGAUAUGUGGAGGAAUACCGAUGGCAAAGUGGCCCCCUGCGGAUUUACUGACUGUCACUACACACUGAGCGUGCGGAGCAUGAGGAUUAGAUACCCUGGUAUACCCCGCCCUCCACGAUCUCAACUAACUAUUGGGGCUGUUAGCCGGUAUUCCGCGCAUCUAACGCUGUGAAUUUGACAGUCAGGGGAGUACCGUCGCGAGUAUUAACACUCAUGCGGAAUCUCAGGGACUUGCACAAGCGCUGGAUGAUGUGGAUUAACUCGAUGCAACGUCAAACAUUACCUACACUGACCUGUCUCGAGAGCCCACAGAUAUCGCCGUGCUCGGACAUCACCUGCAACACACGUACUGCAUGGCUGUCAUCGGCUCUCUGUCUCUCGAUGUUGUGAUAAGUCGCGUAACGACCGCAACCCAUCGUCAUCAGUUGGCUACUG